AUGAAAAGAUACAUAAAUGUUAUGUACUAUAUAAUUGUUUAUGUAACAUUCUCGAAAAGACAAAAUUAUAGAAAUGGAGAACAGAUUAGUGGUUGUCAGGGAUUAACAAGGUGGUGGAGAUGGGAAGGAAGUUGGUGUGGCUGUAAAAGGGAAAUAUAGACAAUCCUUGGGGUAAAUGAAAUGCCCAGUAUCUUGAUUGCAUCCAUGUUAAUAUCCUGGUUAUGUUAUUGUACUAUAGGUUAGGGAAAUAUUACCACUAAGGCAAACUGGAUGAAAGGUUGAUGGAAUCUUUCUGUAUUAUUUCUCACAACCACCUGUGAAUCUACGAUGAUCUAAAAAUAUAAAGGUGAGAUUUUAGAAGUUAAAAGAUGGGAGAAUAUCUGAGAAAGGAGUAUGUCAGUUUGUCAGUUGUCGGAUGAGCCUUAGAACCUUGACAUCAUAAUGGUGAGUGAUCCUGACUACUGAGGAAUCCUCGGGCUUCAAAGAUUUGCCUGUAGUGCUCUGCGAGGUGCUGCAGACAUGACUGAUUUUCAGUGCCAAGAAUGGAAGAAUGAAGGCUGUUCACAUCAGUCAAAAAGGUUUCUACUGUACAAUUUCUCAUUGAAAACUGCCUCAGCAUUUUUUAAGAAGACAUCACUUCCCCCUUGGGGAAGAAAGAACUCAAUGACUUGAAGAAACUGAUGCUUCAGGUACCUUGAAAAAUUCAGCUGGUUUUGAUGAGAAACAGUCAAUGGGGCUGUUAGGGGUCCUGGCGGAUGCUUAGGCAGUGGCUGUCCUGGAUUCCAGGGAAUGCCCCAAACCCAGUGAUGCAGGACCCAGGACUCCAUCUGCUCAUUCUUCAUAAGGUUGGCUCACAGGUCAUCUGCUGAGAAGGUCAUCUUCUCCGUCUUCACUGGGCUCACUGAAUGAGGACAUUCCAAGAUCCCAGCUCAUCUCAUUUGAGCUUUCCUUUUCCUAAUCCCAUGCAUCUGUGUUUGAGAAAAUCUUCCCAAGUGAUAGAUCUUCUAUUUUCCGAUUUCUUCCAUGUUGUAUUACUUUUUUUAUUAAUAAUAAUAAAUACACAUAUUUUUGGUGUGUACAUGCA
rnacentral:lncRNA from 1 species